rnacentral:rRNA from 1 species
AGAACGAACGCUGGCGGCAUGCCUAACACAUGCAAGUCGAACGCUUUGCCGGUUUCGGCCGGCAAGGAGUGGCGCACGGGUGAGUAGCGCGUGGGAACCUGCCCUGUUGUGGGGGAUAACCGAGGGAAACUUCGGCUAAUACCGCAUAAGCCGGUUGUCUUGAAAGAGAUGGCCGGGAAAGAUUUAUCGCGACAGGAGGGGCCCGCGUCGGAUUAGCUAGUUGGCGGGGUAACGGCCCACCAAGGCUGUGAUCCGUAGCUGGUCUGAGAGGAUGAUCAGCCACACUGGGACUGAGACACGGCCCAGACUCCUACGGGAGGCAGCAGUGGGGAAUAUUGGACAAUGGGCGCAAGCCUGAUCCAGCAAUGCCGCGUGAGUGAUGAAGGCCUUAGGGUUGUAAAGCUCUUUCGCCCGCGACGAUGAUGACGGUAGCGGGAGAAGAGCCCGGCUAACUCGUGCCAGCAGCCGCGGU